UACGUAGGGACCGAGCGUUGUCCGGAAUCAUUGGGCGUAAAGAGCGUGUAGGCGGCUUGCUAAGUCUUGCGUGAAAUCUCGGGGCUCAACCCCGAGCGGUCGAUGGGAAACUGGCAGGCUAGAGUGCGGGAGAGGAGAAUGGAUUCCACGUGUAGCAGUGAAAUGCGUAGAGAUGUGGAGGAAUACCGAUGGCGAAGGCAGCCCCCUGGGCCAAUACUGACGCUCAUGCACGAAAGCGUGGGGAGCAAACAGG
rnacentral:rRNA from 1 species